rnacentral:rRNA from 1 species
CCUACGGGAGGCAGCAGUGAGGAAUAUUGGUCAAUGGGCGUAAGCCUGAACCAGCCAAGUAGCGUGAGGGAUGAAGGUUCUAUGGAUCGUAAACCUCUUUUAUAAGGGAAUAAAGUGUGGGACGUGUCCUAUUUUGUAUGUACCUUAUGAAUAAGGAUCGGCUAACUCCGUGCCAGCAGCCGCGGUAAUACGGAGGCUCCGAGCGUUAUCCGGAUUUAUUGGGUUUAAAGGGUGCGUAGGUGGGCUGUUAAGUCAGCGGUGAAAGUCUGUGGCUCAACCAUAGAAUUGCCGUUGAUACUGGGGGGCUUGAGUAUAUUUGAGGCAGGCGGAAUGCGUGGGGUAGCGGUGAAAUGCUUAGAUAUCACGAAGAACCCCGAUUGCGAAGGCAGCCUGCCAAGCCAUGACUGACGCUGAUGCACGAAAGCGUGGGGAUCAAACAGGAUUAGAUACCCGAGUAGUC